rnacentral:rRNA from 1 species
AACGAACGCUGGCGGCAUGCCUAACACAUGCAAGUCGAACGAGACCUCCGGGUCUAGUGGCGCACGGGUGCGUAACGCGUGGGAACCUGCCCGUAGGUUCCGAAUAACUCCCCGAAAGGGGUGCUAAUACCGGAUAAUGUCUUCGGACCAAAGAUUUAUCGCCUUUGGGUGGGCCCGCGUUGGUUUAGCUAGUUGGUAGGGUAAAAGCCUAUCAAGGCGACGAUCCAUAGCUGGUCUGAGAGGAUGCUCCGCCACGCUGGGGCUAAGACACGGCCCAGAAUCGUACGCAAGGGAGGAGUGGGUAAUAUUGGACAAUGGGCGAAGGUCUGACAAAGCCAUGCGGGGUAAGUGAUGAAGGCGUUAGGGUUGUAAAGCUCUUUUACACGGGAUGAUAAUGACGGUACCGGGAGAAUAAGCACCGGCUAACUCCGUG